rnacentral:snoRNA from 1 species
CGGGCGAAUCUGAUAUCGUGGUUGGGCAUUCAACCCAGUCGAUCCACAGUAUCGAUGAUUUGCCCAGAUAAAACGUAUUCUCAUAGUACAACUUGUUGGUAUUUCCUCACUCUUUGCCUCUCUGAAUACGACAAAA